AAAAAAAAAUGUCAAUGUGAAGUUUCUGUAUUGUAAUUUAAGGUCCUUAAUAUACACAAUAGGCAAAAUAUAUUUUAGUGUAUUGAAUGCUUUAAAGGUGUACAUUUUGUAAAAGUCUGUUUAGGAGGGUUCAUCUGACAUUGACCUCAUUUACAUGGAUCAUUGAUAAUGUAAUGUUAAUUGUUUAUGCAAUAUUUUCAGUAAAACAUUUCAAUAUGAAUUCAAUGAUGAUUAUAUUAUUAAAGCACGGGGAGAAUUUUUGAAUGUGCAACCAUUUUUCUCAUUUUGUGCAGAUAUAGAAACUGUUAAUAAUAUUAGUCUCUUUGAAGUUUCACAAAAAAUUAGCAAAGUUAUGUAAAUGUACAAAGACUUUUUUCUUUUCAAAAUUUAAUAUCUAAUUUCUUACAAUUUUUGUUUAAUAUUUUAUCAAAUGGUUACAGUAUACAAUUGUAUAAGGUCAAGACUGU
rnacentral:lncRNA from 1 species